UAUAUAUAUAUUUUUUUUUUUAAUUUAUAAUUAGAAAUUACUUGGACCGUUGGAUUGGUUAAGAUCUAAUCCAAUCGUCCAUUAAGUUAGGUCAUUUUGUUAUCCUCCUUCUUUUGAUCUCCCGAAUGCUCACACUCACACUCAAUCUCUCGAACGGCUCUCAUGCUCUCGCCGCUCCUCCUGUCCUUCAUCCACUUCAAUGGUGCUCCUCCCGCCCUCCGUCCCCUUCAUUCUAUGACGCAAAUCCGAUACCAAUCGAGUCCCAAAAUAAUCCAGAAGAAGCCGCAGACUUGGGUGCGCAGUCAACGGACUUGGGUGCGCAGACUCGGUUUGCAAUCAGAGAUGGUUUUGUUUCUAAUUUUGGAAAGGUGGAAUUGGGCUCGGGUAUGCAAAGGUGGAGGCGUUUGGAAAUUUCUGAAGAGGAAAGGUAGAGAAGCUGCGAGAUAGAAAUGAAAAGGAUUUUUUUUUGAAAUAGGGAGUUUAGAUUUUGGGCGCCAUGCCAAAAUUUUGGUAGCCGUCCAAAUUUUUAAUCUCCCACCUCCUCCAAAUGUUUUUAUUUAUUUAUGUAUGAUUUUUUUUUUUUUUUUCUUUGUCAAAAUGUAUGACUAUUAAAAUCUAUUGUUUGGAUAGGAUAUAUAUUCUAUGAAAGUAAAUUCAAUGAUCCAACCGUCAAAA